rnacentral:rRNA from 1 species
AUUGAACGCUGGCGGCAGGCCUAACACAUGCAAGUCGAACGAGUGGCGGACGGGUGAGUAAUGUCUGGGAAACUGCCUGAUGGAGGGGGAUAACUACUGGAAACGGUAGCUAAUACCGCAUACCAUCGGAUGAUCCCAGAUGGGAUUAGCUAGUAGGUGGGGUAAAGGCUCACCUCGGCAACGAUCCCUAGGUGGUCUGAGAGGAUGACCAGCAAACCUGGAACUGGGAAACGGUCCAGACUCCUACGGGAGGCAGAAGUGGGGAAUAUUGCACAAUGGGCGCAAGCCUGAGGCAGCCAUGCCGCGUGUAUGAAGAAGGCCUUCGGGUUGUAAAGUACUUUCAGCGGGGAGGCGUUACCCGCAGAAGAAGCACCGGCUAACUCCGUGCCAGCCGCCGCGGUAAUAC